GUGAAUCAUCGAAUCUUUGAACGCAACUGGCACUCUUUGGCUAUCCAAAGAGUAUACCUGUUUGAGUAUCAUGUACACCAUCUUUAACCCAAGAGGUUUCUUGGGUCAAAGGAGUAUGAGUUUUACCACUCAAUGAGGGGUUAACUUUGAAAUAAAUGGUCAACUUGAGACCAAAGUUUAGCUAAUUGAAACAAUUUGGCAUAAUUUUAGUCACCAACAAGUUGAUCCAUACCUAAAUUAACAAUAUUGAUCUCAAAUCAGGCAGGAUUACCCGCUGAAUUUAAGCAUAUCAAUAAGGCGAGG
rnacentral:rRNA from 1 species